GUGGAGCCCGAUGCAGGGCUCAAACCCACAAAAUGCUAUAUAUGACCUGAACUGAAAUCCAGAGUCAGAUGCUUGACUGACUGAGCCACCCAGGUGCCGGAAGUAAAAUGUUUUUGAGAUUUACACAUUGUUGCAUAUAUCAGUACCCUACCUUUUUAUUGCUCAGUAGUAUAUCAUUGUAUAAAUUGUCAGUUUAUCCCUUCUUUUAUUGAUGGACAAUUGAGCUGUUUCCAGUGUUAUGCUAUUAUGAAUAAGUCUGCUAUGAACAUUGUGUACAAGUCUUUAUGUGGACAUAUGUUUUCAUUUCUCACAGUUAAAUACAUAGGAGUGGAAUUGCUGUAUCAUGUGGUAAGAAUGUGUUUCACUUUACAUGAAACUGCAAAACUCUUUCCUCAGUGGCUUUAUCUUUUUGUAUUCUCACCAUGAUAUAUGAGAGUUCCAGUCUUCCCGUGUCCUUGUCAACAUUUAGUAUGUUCAGUCUUUAAAAUUUUGGUUAUUCCAGUGAAUGUGUAGUGUUAAAUCAUUGUGAUUUUAAAUUGAAUUUUUUUGGUAACUUAUGAUGUUAAGCACUUUUUUAUGUGCUUAUGUGUUUCCUUUGUUAUUUGUUAGUUUCAUUUAUUAAUAUCACUAAUAUUAUGAAUGAUUUUGAAAAAAUCGUGAGUGUUGACUUUUGUAAAAUAUUUUCUGCAUCUAUUGAGAUGGUUUUGUCUCAUUUUAUGUUCUGUUAAAAAGAUGAAUUAGAUGGAUGGAUAUUUUCAAGGAACUAACUUACAGUUUUGUUAAUAAUUUGUUUUAUUUUCUUCUUUAUUUUCUUUGUCCUACUUGCUUUUGUUGUAGUUUGCUCACAUUUUACUGGAUUCCUAACAUGGACUUUUAAGUAUCUGAUUUCAAGUCUUAUUUUCUAACAUAAUCACUUAAAACUACAAAAUUUCAUCCAACGACUGCUUUACUCGCAUCACACAAAUAUUGAUAUGUUGUGUAUUUAUCAUUAUUCACCAGAAAGAAUGUCCAAUUUUCAGCCAAUUUUCAAAUCUUUUAAAUCGUACCAUGUUGGUAACUGUAUUUAUUGCUUGUGCGUAAGGCUCCAGGUAUCUGCUUUCAUGACCUGUGUUGGCCACAGUUAUCAAAAUAGUAAAAACAAAAACAAAAACCAAAACCUUGUGCCUAAUCCCAGAGUCAGUCAUCCAAAAUUAACUAAUGGCAAUUUUGUCUGUGUUUUAUAUUUGAAGUUGAUUCUACAAAUUGAUCAUCAUGGAACCUAUCUCAACCUCCAUUAUCAUAGAGAUAUGAUUCUGUUCACAUGUGUAGUCCUUGGAAAAUGUAUUAAAAACAUGCUUCCCCCUUUUUUGCCUGUCCAUUUUCCAAACUCCUUUUAUAUUUUAAGAAAUAUCUCAUUCCUAGAAUCUUGGUUGGAUCCAGAGCCCCAGUUCCCAGUACAGAAGCCAAAGGAUGACAAACUUUCCUUUCCUCUACCCCUGGCAUUUAUGUUAGUGAUAGAUGUAGGUGAUAUUAGCUCAACAGAUAGAAUGCUUCUGCCUGUGAUACUGACUCCAAAGUAGUAAAUACAAAGACGGAGGGACAGUUGAGAAUAUAGUACCAGUUGCAUUGUACAACAAUGACUGCAAUGGCAUCCAGUGGUUUCUCCAGUAAUUCCCAGUGACGGGAUCUGAUGGUUCUAAGGGCAGUGGAGCUAAUGGCUGCUUUCUGACCAGACUGGUUUUACAGGGUGACCUCACCUGAUGCUCUUCUGCCUGUCUGUUUGGUUCCUGCCUAUUUAGGGAGCCUGAUAUCCAGUUUUCCUAACAAUUCUUAAUAUCCUACAUCUUUCCAGUAAGACCCACUUCUGCUUAAAGUAGAACUGAUUUUUCUUUCUUGAAACUAGGAAACCUAACAGUUAUAGGACUCAAGGACAAAGGUCAGAAGGACAGUUUGUUGCCAAUAAAUAGAACUUCAAUAAAUGAAAAUCCAAUGUAUGUAAUUCUCGUUACUAGGUAGCAAUAGCACCAACUUUUCAGCUUGAAGCUGUAAGUUAGGGGAGUACGUGUAACAGAAUUUAUCGUAUUCUUAAGUAUAGUAUGAGGAAAUUUAUAGAUUAUUGCAAAUGGUGUGUGCUAGCAAAUGACAAAGGGUAUAUCCUAAUUCUUGUAUACAAAUCAGGUUUUCAUCAGUAAUGUUAGAGGUAGAGAAUUAUUAAAAAACAGAUCAUUCUAAUUCUUUCAUGGGAUGGUAUAAUAUUACACACACCCUAAAAAUUCCAUUAGAAAAGAAUACUACACAUUAAGGAAAUAGUUAUAUGAUUUUAUGGCAAAAAUAGCUCAGCUUAGUUUUUUUCUAGAAAGUAAACUGUGUGUGUACUUGGAGUUGUACAGUUUACAGUAUAGAUGAUAUGGCUCCCCACUCCCAAAGUGUAACCUGGAUGGAUGCUAUCAGUAAGAGUUAACAUUUACUUUACUACUUACACUUGUACAUAAUUUAGAAUAUUUUUUAGCAUUAAUUUCCUCUUUAACAUUUUUAGGACAUUAAUAUUAAGAUACAGCAUUAGAAUGGAAGGUUACAUGAGCACAUGACUAGAGAGACACAGAUGUUGGGCAAGCAAUUAGGCAUAAAUAACAUUAAACACUCUGCUCCUUUUUUUCCCACAAUAGUAUAACUAGUCUCCUGAAGUCCAUCUCUCAGAAAAUGACACCUUUUAAACUUUAAAUCUAAAUUAACUUAGAAGUUCAUGGACACAUAUUAAUGCUGUUGCAUACAGAAUUGACUCAGAUGUGGAUUCAAGAUUACAGCCUUGAUGAGGAGGAAGGUAUAAGUAGGGAAUCAACAUUUUUAAAAAGUUCCCCAGGUGAUCCUAACAUAUAGCUAUGCACUAGCUUAUGGCCUCAGGGUCUUACCUUCUACCCCACAUUGUCUGCAAAGGAAUUGUGGUGCCAGGUUUUUUUAAAAUAAGAGAAAACAAGGUUGUCUCUAUUAUAACAGUGUAAAUUAUGACUUCUUAAAAAGCUACAAUUGAUUAUUACAAAAACAUUUUAUAGCCAUCCUGGAAGAGAAAAUAAUCUUCUACUUAAACAUAUAAUUCCUUAAUAAUCACUGGUUGACCAAAUAUUUCAUAUUUUAUUACAUAAUAAAGGCUCUGGGAAUUUUUACUUUUAAGGUGGGUAAUAAUGUCAGCUAAUAUUCUUAUAGCCACUCUUGAAAGGGUGAAAGCCAUAAACUUCGGGUCAGAUGUAUCUUCAACUUGGAGCAAAAUUAUACUCCUUUCUACUUUCACCCCAGUCUUUAGUAAUUGAUUUGACCUCUGGGAGAGGUAUUAGCAGUGCUUAUAAGCUGUUCUCUUUUUCUUUUUAGCUGCUUGACACCUCUUCACCUUCACUGACCAAAGUCUUCUGGGUGAUUCUAUAGCUACUGACAAUCACAGAAGACUGCCUUGAGAAGUCAUGUGGAGAAUAAAAAUCCAUUUCCUCCUCAACUUUGGGGGUAGAGUAGGGUGGUGGAUUAUGGAAUAUAUAUAUAUAUAUAGACACACACACAGUUUUGAAUAUAAAAAAGCAUAUUUUAGUAAAGUAUAAUAAAAAAGGAAUAAGAGUGAAUAAGUGCUAUAAAAGAUAUAAAAAGCAAUUAUACUUUAUACUGGUAGUGAAUAAAACUGAAAUACACGUAAUUUGAAUAGCCUGAAAAGUUUAACAUUAUACUUCUAUGUUUUAUAUUCAGAAGUUACCUGGGGGUGCCUGGAUGGCUCAAUCGGUUGAGUGUUGGACUACUGGUUUCAGCUCAGGUUAUGAUCUCAUGGUUUGUGAGCUAGAGUCCUGCGUGGGGGUCCGUGCUAGGCGGGGAGCCUGCUGAAGAUUCUCUCCCUCCCUCCUUCUUGUUCUCUUCCCCCACUUCAAAAAAAAAAAGUUAUCUCAAGAAAAAAUCCAAAUGCAAACUACAUACAUUAGUUAUGUCUAUGCUACUCCAAUUAGAAAGCCAGUGUGGUGCUGAGUGACAGGAGCGGGUGCGGAAUCCACGGCUUCUUUUCAGCGCUUUGUGUCUGACUGCUACACAGCUAGUUGCCCAGUUUCCACUCACAUUUUCCUGUUUGAUUGUAAGAGAGCGGGACUAAAUGGGAGUUACUCAUUAAGAUUCCAUUACAAAACUGUAUUUUCUACCACAUUCUAAAAUUUCCACAGACGACGGUGUAUAGUAGAGUACAUUUUAGGAAUGGGCUGCAUGAUUCUCUUGGAAAGAACACUGUACUCUUUAUACGAAAUCACCUCCAGGCACUUUUCACAUUUCCACGAAAAUAGCCAGCCAAGAAAUCUGAAACCCUAAAGUCAAAGGACAAGGUCUAAUUUUGGCUUUGUGUUGUCCUCUCAGCCUCUCUUGUCUGAAAUCCACAAUCCAGUUGCCCUAUUCAGUUUGGACUUUGGCUAAUAAUACUCAUAGUCUGCCCCUAAGAGAAAGACAAGAGAAUAUGGACUUAUUUGGGAAGAUGGAUGACAUAUUAUACAAUUUUAUGAAUUCCUCAAAAAGGUUAAACAUCCACUAUGUGCCAUGGACUAUGUUAAGUGGGACCAUUAAAGCAGAGACAAUUUGUCCCCAGUAAGGAGCACAGUACUUGACACAUGGUGCACUGAAGUGCCCUACAAUCCUCUCUGCCCAGAGAGAAGAAUGAAGCAUGAAGCCAAGAGAAAGAAAAGGACCUCCCUGCCUCCUCACAUACAGAUACGUACACGUACAGAUGAGCAUACGGAAACACAGAUCCCUGCAUCAUGACAUAUAUGCAGGCAUCCGUUCUCAAAGAAGAAAGGAGCGUUGCUGAAGUUCCCACGGGCUUUCCCGUUCCUGGUCCUACUCUCAAGAGAGAACUUCUGAUUUCCAAGAUGGGCAUGGAAUGUGAAUCUGGAGCCACUUGUUUUCUUGGAUGAAGGCCAGACAAAGGUGCAUCACAAUCCCAUAGCAAAGGAUGCCUCCAGUCAUGUUCUCUGACUUUUCUCCGUGAUGAAAACCACUUUCUCUGCCUACCCCACAACAGAGAAGUAAUUUGGAGAUACUCAUGUAAUCAUCACAUGAUCUUAUAAGAUGUUGUUAUUAUUCCUGUCUUCCAUGAGAGGAAAUGGAGGUGAAGAGAAAGAACUGACCUUCCCAAGGCCACACAGUUGGUAGUGAGAAAGCUGUGUUGAACGUGAGCAGUCCUUGUCCAGAGCCCAGACACUUCAAGCCACUACAUCACACCCCUCUUGUCAGCUAAAGGGAGAUCCUAAUCAUUACAAUGCAUUGCAGUGGACCAUGACGGUGCAUAAGAUACUAUGACGCUUGCUUCCAUUUUUUCAUGAUCUAGAGUUUGAGAAAGGUGCAUUGUGGCUUUACUCACACUGUAUGUCUGCUUAUAAAUUUUCACUGACUUUAUGUCACACUGCAGUAUGAAUCAUUUGAAACCAACCAGCCUAGUCUAUAUUUGUCAGUGUAAAUGUCAAGCACUCUAUAUUCUGAGCUUUUAUUUCAACACUCGAAUGCUUUAUCUAAUGUUAUUCUUCAUGGACAUACCACUAUAAUCAGUCAUGUUUGUUUGUUUAUU